rnacentral:rRNA from 1 species
UACGGAGGAUCCAAGCGUUAUCCGGAUUUAUUGGGUUUAAAGGGUGCGCAGGCGGAAGAUUAAGUCGGCGGUGAAAUUUUGCAGCUCAACUGUAAAAGUGCCAUCGAUACUGGUUUUCUUGAGUGUGGAUGAAGUAGGCGGAAUUUGUGGUGUAGCGGUGAAAUGCAUAGAUAUCACGAGGAACUCCGAUUGCGCAGGCAGCUUACUAGGCCAUAACUGACGCUCAGGUACGAAAGCGUGGGGAUCAAACAGGAUUAGAUA